GGUCGCUCAGUGGUAGAGUGCUUGCCUUGAAUGCAUGAGGCCGUGGGUUCGAUUCCUCAGCACCA
rfam:Dipodomys ordii contig_60321, whole genome shotgun sequence.